rnacentral:rRNA from 1 species
AUUGAACGCUGGCGGCAUGCCUUACACAUGCAAGUCGAACGGUAACAGGUCUUCGGAUGCUGACGAGUGGCGAACGGGUGCGUAAUACAUCGGAACGUGCCCGAUCGUGGGGGAUAACGAGGCGAAAGCUUUGCUAACACCGCAUACGAUCUACGGAUGAAAGCGGGGGAUCUUCGGACCUCGCGCGGACGGAGCGGCCGAUGGCAGAUUAGGUAGUUGGUGGGAUAAAAGCUUACCAAGCCGACGAUCUGUAGCUGGUCUGAGAGGAUGAUCAGCCACACUGGGACUGAGACACGGCCCAGACUCCUACGGGAGGCAGCAGUGGGGAAUUUUGGACAAUGGGCGAAAGCCUGAUCCAGCCAUGCCGCGUGCAGGAUGAAGGCCUUCGGGUUGUAAACUGCUUUUGUACGGAACGAAAAGCCUCUUUCUAAUAAAGAGGGGUCAUGACGGUACCGUAAGAAUAAGCACCGGCUAACUACGUG